GAAGCCUGGAAGAACGUCCGUUGUACUUGUAACCUGAAAACCUAUUUCAAAAUCCUCGGGAAAAGGGUCAUUUUUACGAAUCUCACUCAAUUCCAUUUUUUGAUUUCAAUGGCGAAUCCCGAUCAGCAACCAAACUUAAUUAGGCCAUGGAUCCUUGAAGUUGUCCCCUUCGUAGUUGUUGUUCUCAUUGCCGCUCAUGUCAUCGCUUUGGUUUAUUGGAUAUACAGAUUAGCUACGGAGAAGCUCCCUGGACGAAGAAAGAAGCACUAGAACUUUUAUAUUCUAAUUCGUAGUCCAGUGAUUCCACGAAGAAACGAAGGUGUAGUGAUCCAAUUUCGUGUUUUUAGUUUUGAAUUUAGUGUGUUUAUGCGGUAGGCAUGGAAGGUGUUCGACGAAAUGUGUGAAAGAAAUAUUGUCCAUUUGGGGGUCACAAAUGAAUUGAAGGGUGUUGUAAUCAGUUGGUAUUUUGUGAUUGUGAAAAGUUCUACUCGAUUUGAGGAUUACUACUUAUUGUGUUGUUCUGUGGUUUCUUGAUGAGAUGCCUCAAGAAAAGAAUAUUGUAUAUUUAAACACAAUCUGUAUGGCAAACAUUCAAUGGGGUUCCAAGAA